AUGUAUCGUCUUCGCAAUAGAGUCGGUCUUCGUGGUUUUGAAGGAGUCAGUAGUGAUGGUAAUAGUGGUGGUCUAGCCUUGUUUUGGGAUGAGUCUUUGUACGUCGAUAUUCGUGAUUGCAAUAGAAGAUGGAUUGAUGUGUAUGUCCGGUUACCUGCUGAUGAUCAACUAUGGAGAAUCACCUUUGUGUAUGGGGAACCACGGGUGGAAAAUAGACACCUAAUGUGGGAAGGGCUAAAAAGAUUGAAAGCUCAGGAUGAUCUACCUUGGCUCUUGGCUGGGGACUUCAAUGAAGUUAUGUGGGACUAUGAGCAUUUGUCGGAUACACCAAGGUCACCUGGGCAAAUGAUAGCUUUCCGGGAGGUGCUUGAGGCCUGCAAUCUUUCAGAUCUUGGCUUCUCUGGUUACCCGUUUACUUAUGAUAAUAAGCGCAGAGGGCGGGCUAAUGUGCAAGUGAGGUUGGAUCGUGCAGUGGCGGAC
rnacentral:rRNA from 1 species